AACGAACGCUGGCGGCAGGCUUAACACAUGCAAGUCGAACGGGAAUAGCAAUAUGUCAGUGGCAGACGGGUGAGUAACGCGUGGGAACGUACCUUUUGGUUCGGAACAACACAGGGAGACUUGUGCUAAUACCGGAUAAGCCCUUACGGGGAAAGAUUUAUCGCCGGAAGAUCGGCCCGCGUCGGAUUAGCUAGUUGGUAGGGUAAUGGCCUACCAAGGCGACGAUCAGUAGCUGGUCUGAGAGGAUGAUCAGCCACAUUGGGACUGAGACACGGCCCAAACUCCUACGGGAGGCAGCAGUGGGGAAUAUUGGACAAUGGGCGAAAGCCUGAUCCAGCCAUGCCGCGUGAGUGAUGAAGGCCCUAGGGUUGUAAAGCUCUUUUGUGCGGGAAGAUAAUGACGGUACCGCAAGAAUAAGCCCCGGCUAACUUCGUG
rnacentral:rRNA from 1 species